GACGAACGCUGGCGGCGUGCCUAAUACAUGCAAGUUGAGCGCUGAAGGUUGGUACUUGUACCAACUGGAUGAGCAGCGAACGGGUGAGUAACGCGUGGGGAAUCUGCCUUUGAGCGGGGGACAACAUUUGGAAACGAAUGCUAAUACCGCAUAAAAACUUUAAACACAAGUUUUAAGUUUGAAAGAUGCAAUUGCAUCACUCAAAGAUGAUCCCGCGUUGUAUUAGCUAGUUGGUGAGGUAAAGGCUCACCAAGGCGAUGAUACAUAGCCGACCUGAGAGGGUGAUCGGCCACAUUGGGACUGAGACACGGCCCAAACUCCUACGGGAGGCAGCAGUAGGGAAUCUUCGGCAAUGGACGAAAGUCUGACCGAGCAACGCCGCGUGGGUGAAGAAGGUUUUCGGAUCGUAAAACUCUGUUGGUAGAGAAGAACGUUGGUGAGAGCGGAAAGCUCAUCAAGUGACGGUAACUACCCAGAAAGGGACGGCUAACUACGUG
rnacentral:rRNA from 1 species